CCGGGUGGGGAUCCAUGGUCACAGAACCGCCACAAGCGCCAACUACAUCACCCACCUACGAUGGAACAGCAAAGAAAUGGGACUAGUUCAAGCAAAAUAUGCACAUUGCAGGACAAAACCUAACCCUAACCCAAAAGAAGGGGGGAUGUCCUCACUAACCUCACUAGCGGUCGGAGCACCUGGGGAACUGCAGAUCCAUCGGGUUCGAGCCAGCAGGAGCCACUGUUGUUGCCGGAUUGCGUCGCCGGAGCGGUCGCCGCGGAGCUCCCCAGGUCGAGAGAGGGGAGUAGGGAAGAGGAGCAAUGGGGAAUGAACAUGCCGAGAUAGC
rnacentral:lncRNA from 1 species